GAACGCUGGCGGCAGGCCCAACNCAUGCAAGUCGAGCGGUAGAGAGAAGCUUGCUUCUCUUGAGAGCGGCGGACGGGUGAGUAAUGCCUAGGAAUCUGCCUGGUAGUGGGGGAUAACGUCCGGAAACGGACGCUAAUACCGCAUACGUCCUACGGGAGAAAGCAGGGGACCUUCGGGCCUUGCGCUAUCAAAUGAGCCUAGGUCGGAUUAGCUAGUUGGUGAGGUAAUGGCUCACCAAGGCGACGAUCCGUAACUGGUCUGAGAGGAUGAUCAGUCACACUGGAACUGAGACACGGUCCAGACUCCUACGGAGAGGCAGCAGUGGGGAAUAUUGGACAAUGGGCGAAAGCCUGAUCCAGCCAUGCCGCGUGUGUGAAGAAGGUCUUCGGAUUGUAAAGCACUUUAAGUUGGGAGGAAGGGCAGUUACCUAAUACGUGAUUGUUUUGACGUUACCGACAGAAUAAGCACCGGCUAACUCUGUGCCAGCAGCCGCGGUAAUACAGAGGGUGCA
rnacentral:rRNA from 1 species